UUAAACGGCCGCGGUAUCCUAACCGUGCAAAGGUAGCAUAAUCACUUGUCCCCUAAAUAGGGACUAGAAUGAACGGCUACAUGAGGACUAACCUGUCUCUUGCAUUCAAUCAAUGAAAUUGAUCUCUCAGUCCAAAAGCUGAAAUAACCCCAUAAGACGAGAAGACCCUGUGGAGCUUAUUAAACUAAGCCCACCGACAUGAUACGCCUAGUUUUCAGUUGGGGCGACUUCGGAGCACAAAAAACCCUCCAAAUUAAUCCAACCAGAUUAACACAUCGACACCUCCUUUGACCCAGUAGUUUUAACCCUCCUACCUGAUCAAUGAAACAAGUUACCCCAGGGAUAACAGCGCCAUCCCCUUCAAGAGUCCCCAUCGACAAGGGGGUUUACGACCUCGAUGUUGGAUCAGGACACCCAAAUAGUGCAUCCGCUAUUAACGGUUCGUUUGUUCAACGAUUAA
rnacentral:rRNA from 1 species